GUCAGAGUUUGAUCCUGGCUCAGAUUGAACACUGGCGGUAUGCCUUACACAUGCAAGUCGAACGGUAGAGGGGCAACCCUUGAGAGUGGCGAACGGGUGAGUAAUACAUCGGAACGUGCCCAGUCGUGGGGGAUAACGUAGCGAAAGCUACGCUAAUACCGCAUACGACCCGAGGGUGAAAGCGGGGGACUCGCAAGAGCCUCGCGCGAUUGGAGCGGCCGAUGGCAGAUUAGGUAGUUGGUGGGGUAAAGGCCCACCAAGCCUGCGAUCUGUAGCUGGUCUGAGAGGACGACCAGCCACACUGGGGACUGAGACACGGCCCAGACUCCUACGGGAGCAGCAGUGGGGAAUUUGGACAAUGGGCAAAGCCUGAUCCAGCCAUACCCGCGUG
rnacentral:rRNA from 1 species